AGUAAUCAGCGAGACUCCGUGGGCGUAGGACCCUCCGAGCCAGGUGCGGGAUAUAAUCUCGUGGUGCGCCGUUUUUUAAGCCGGUCCGAAAAGCGCAAUAUUUGGGUGGGAGUGACCCGAUUUUCCAGGAGUUGAGGAGUGCUGAAACAAUUGGUCGUACCAUCAUAUCUCCAGCUAUUUCUGGAAAGGAUUUUGUGAUAACUGAAGGCACAUUGGUCUUUGAACCUGGCCAGAGAAGCACUGUAUUGGAUGUCAUCCUAACGCCAGAGACAGGAUCUUUAAAUUCAUUUCCUAAACGCUUCCAGAUUGUCCUUUUUGACCCAAAAGGUGGUGCCAGAAUUGAUAAAGUGUAUGGGACUGCCAACAUCACUCUUGUCUCAGAUGCAGAUUCGCAGGCCAUUUGGGGGCUUGCAGAUCAGCUACAUCAGCCUGUGAAUGAUGAUAUUCUCAACAGAGUGCUCCAUACCAUCAGCAUGAAAGUGGCCACAGAAAACACAGAUGAACAACUCAGUGCCAUGAUGCAUUUAAUAGAAAAGAUAACUACUGAAGGAAAAAUUCAAGCUUUCAGUGUUGCCAGCCGAACU
rnacentral:sRNA from 1 species